rnacentral:rRNA from 1 species
CCUACGGGAGGCAGCAGUGAGGAAUAUUGGUCAAUGGACGAGAGUCUGAACCAGCCAAGCCGCGUGAAGGAUGACUGCCCUAUGGGUUGUAAACUUCUUUUAUACAGGAAUAAAACGAGGCACGUGUGUCUUUCUGCAUGUACUUUAUGAAUAAGGAUCGGCUAACUCCGUGCCAGCAGCCGCGGUAAUACGGAGUAUCCGAGCGUUAUCCGGAUUUAUUGGGUUUAAAGGGAGCGUAGAUGGGUUGGUAAGUUAGUGGUGAAAUGUUGCAGCUUAACUGUGGAAUUGCCAUUGAUACUGUCAGUCUUGAGUACAGAUGAGGUAGGCGGAAUGCAUGGUGUAGCGGUGAAAUGCUUAGAGAUCACGCAGAACCCCGAUUGCGAAGGCAGCUUACUAAUCUGUGACUGACAUGGAGGCACGAAAGUGUGGGGAGCAAACAGGAUUAGAUACCCUGGUAGUC